GAUGAACGCUGGCGGCGUGCCUAAUACAUGCAAGUCGAGCGAACAGACGAGGAGCUUGCUCCUCUGACGUUAGCGGCGGACGGGUGAGUAACACGUGGAUAACCUACCUAUAAGACUGGGAUAACUUCGGGAAACCGGAGCUAAUACCGGAUAACAUGUUGAACCGCAUGGUUCAACAGUGAAAGACGGUCUUGCUGUCACUUAUAGAUGGAUCCGCGCCGCAUUAGCUAGUUGGUAAGGUAACGGCUUACCAAGGCAACGAUGCGUAGCCGACCUGAGAGGGUGAUCGGCCACACUGGAACUGAGACACGGUCCAGACUCCUACGGGAGGCAGCAGGAGGGAAUCUUCCGCAGUGGGCGAAAGCCUGACGGAGCAACGCCGCGUGAGUGAAGAAGGUCUUCGGAUCGUAAAACUCUGUUAUUAGGGAAGAACAAAUGUGUAAGUAACUAUGCACGUCUUGACGGUACCUAAUCAGAAAGCCACGGCUAACUACGU
rnacentral:rRNA from 1 species